rnacentral:misc_RNA from 1 species
UGGUUCUGGCAUCGAAGAAGAACGCAGCAAAAUGCGAUAAGUAAUGUGAAUUGCAGAAUUCAGUGAAUCAUCGAAUCUUUGAACGCACAUUGCGCCCGCCAGUAUUCUGGCGGGCAUGCCUGUUCGAGCGUCAUUUCAACCCUCAAGCACAGCUUGGUGUUGGGAUCCGUAGUUCUGAACUACGGUCCCCAAAUCUAUUGGCGGUCACGUCGAGCUUCCAUAGCGUAGUAAUUACACCUCGUUACUGGUACUCGUCGCGGCCACGCCGUUAAACCCCAACUUCUGAAUGUUGACCUCGGAUCAGGUAGGAAUACCCGCUGA